rnacentral:lncRNA from 1 species
CAACUAAAAAUCUAUUACCAUUGGUCCCUCAACUUUAAUUCAACUGGAGAAAUGGUCUCUUAAAUUUAACCUAAUUGUAGCAAUGGUCCUUCCAACACAACUCGUUUUGACAAAAAUUUUGAUGUAGUUGACGAAAAUGACCAUAAUUACACACUUUGAUGAGUUGAGGGACCAUAAUUAUAUAAAUGGUUAUUCCAACAUAACUUAUUUUGACAAAAUUUUGACGAAAUUGAUGAAAAUGACUAUAGAUACACAUUUUGAUAAGUUGAGGAACUAAUGAUAAUAGAUUUUUAGUUGAGGGACCACUGCUACAAGUUACUUUAUUCUAUAUAUGCUUAAGUGAGGGAUUUUCAAUUUCCUAAAAGGCUCAAGUUAAGUGAGGAAGAGGGAGAAUAGAAAUGCCCUACGUAAUUAUUACAAAGAUAGGAACGAAGAAUUUGUAAAUGACUUGUUUCAAGUAGUUAUUUGUAAAUUUCUUAACCUUGUCAGAAUAAUUUGUGAUAAAAACUUAAAAUCAUAUGUUUUGAAGUGCAGUUUAUGUCAUAUAUUUUCAAUAUAUAUGAUAAUUAAAGAGAAAUUUGCACAAACAUUGACUGGACCAUUAGCUACAGAAAUGCACAGAUACUGCCCAAACAAAAGUCUUGCCAAUUUACUAACCAAAAUACACUUCUUAGUGCAGAUGUAUUACCUCUAUUAAUCGCUGUUAGAAAUUUCAUUGUCUUUGAGGAAGUGAAAGAUAUGUCAAUGCUUAGUACAAAACCCUUAAUAAGUGAAAGUGGUCAAUUAGAAAUUUAAUCAAAGCAGUGUUUGUGAAAUUUUACUAAAUUAAAGGCCACUUAGUACAAUGAUUUAGUGGUAUACUUCUUCAUUUGCAAGCGAGAGGUCUUAAGUUUAAUUCUCGUCAAAGAUAAAUUUGAAUCACAUUAUUGCUAGUCUAUUGUGAGGCUAAGCCACCCCUCCCUUAAUGUAAAUAAUAUCAUUUGUUAAAAAAACACUAAAUUGAAAGUGAUUACAUUAAAUGUAAUUUAAUCACUUUCAAUCAAAUUGGAUUAGAAAUUUUGAGCAGACAGAGUGAUAAUCAGUGGAUCACGUCCAGUUCUCAACUCAAUAAUUCGCACAUGGAGCAGAUGGUUUUAGCAACUCAGCUCAUCAUCAU